rnacentral:tRNA from 1 species
GCAAACGUAGCUUAAAAUUAAAGCAUGACACUGAAGAUGUUAAGAUAGUCCUUAGAUUGGUCUCGUGAGCA